rnacentral:rRNA from 1 species
ACGGGUGAGUAACGCGUGGGAACGUACCCCUCGGUUCGGAAUAACUCAGGGAAACUUGAGCUAAUACCGGAUACGGCAACCAAGAGAGAUUUUGGCGGCGAAAGAUUUAUCGCCGAGGGAUCGGCCCGCGUUCGAUUAGCUAGUUGGUGUGGUAAUGGCGCACCAAGGCGACGAUCGAUAGCUGGUCUGAGAGGAUGAUCAGCCACAUUGGGACUGAGACACGGCCCAA